GGCUCAGAACGAACGCUGGCGGCGUGCCUAACACAUGCAAGUCGAGCGCGAAUGGAGCAAUCCUAGUAGAGCGGCGCACGGGUGCGUAACACGUGGGUAAUCUGCCUGGAAGACCGGAACAACCUGCCGAAAGGCUGGCUAAUACCGGAUAAGCCUACGGGGUCUUCGGAUCCUGAAGGAAAAGGUGGCCUCUGUAUACAAGCUAUCACUUCCAGAUGAGCCCGCGGCCCAUCAGCUAGUUGGCGGGGUAACGGCCCACCAAGGCAACGACGGGUAGCUGGUCUGAGAGGACGAUCAGCCACACUGGAACUGAGACACGGUCCAGACUCCUACGGGAGGCAGCAGUGGGGAAUUUUGCGCAAUGGGCGAAAGCCUGACGCAGCAACGCCGCGUGUGUGAUGAAGGUCUUCGGAUUGUAAAGCACUUUCGACCGGGACGAACAACCUCUGGCUAACAUCCAGGGGCCUGACUUUACCGGGAGAAGAAGCACCGGCUAACUCUGUGCCAGCAGCCGCGGUAAUACAGAGGGUGCAAGCGUUGUUCGGAAUUAUUGGGCGUAAAGCGCGUGUAGGCGGCUUUGCAAGUCGGGUGUGAAAUCCCUCAGCUUAACUGAGGAAGUGCGCCCGAAACUGCAGAGCUUGAAUACCGGAGAGGAUGGCGGAAUUCCCCAAGUAGAGGUGAAAUUCGUAGAUAUGGGGAGGAACACCGGCGGCGAAGGCGGCCAUCUGGACGGAUAUUGACGCUGAGACGCGAAAGCGUGGGUAGCAAACAGGAUUAGAUACCCUGGUAGUCCACGCCGUAAACGAUGAGAACUAGGUGUCGUGGGUGUUGACCCCCGCGGUGCCGCAGCUAACGCAUUAAGUUCUCCGCCUGGGAAGUACGGCCCGCAAGCUAA
rnacentral:rRNA from 1 species